GACGAACGCUGGCGGCGUGCUUAACACAUGCAAGUCGAACGGAAAGGCCCUGCUUUUGUGGGGUGCUCGAGUGGCGAACGGGUGAGUAGCACGUGAGUAACCUGCCCUUGACUUUGGGAUAACUUCAGGAAACUGGGGCUAAUACCGGAUAGGAGCUCCUGCUGCAUGGUGGGGGUUGGAAAGUUUCGGCGGUUGGGGAUGGACUCGCGGCUUAUCAGCUUGUUGGUGGGGUAGUGGCUUACCAAGGCUUUGACGGGUAGCCGGCCUGAGAGGGUGACCGGCCACAUUGGGACUGAGAUACGGCCCAGACUCCUACGGGAGGCAGCAGUGGGGAAUAUUGCACAAUGGGCGGAAGCCUGAUGCAGCAACGCCGCGUGCGGGAUGACGGCCUUCGGGUUGUAAACCGCUUUCGCCUGUGACGAAGCGUGAGUGACGGUAAUGGGUAAAGAAGCGCCGGCUAACUACGUG
rnacentral:rRNA from 1 species